CCAUGUGGACUGGGAGCCCAAACGAGUGGUGGUGUCAUAGGAGGGGCCCCACUGAGAACCACACAAUGAGCGAGACCCCUGUGUGCCCACAAACCGGGAGAUGGAACGAGAGGUGGUCUGUUGAUCACGAUAUCCCUGCUCACCAUCAGAACUUCUCCACACUCUGGGUCUGAGACAGCAACUACUUUCAUAAUGUUGUGAUCACACAGAAAAAAAUAUAUUAACCAUAGAAACCAGUGUUUAUGUUCUGCUACACCUUUGCUCUUCCCAACAUAUGGUAUGUCUAGGUGCUCUAAGCGAGUCUUUUACACUGGCUAAUAUC